AAUCGCCUGUGUAUUUCACAUUUAAUUCAUAAAAUACAAUUUUUCAUUCUAUUUCAUUUAAAAAUCAUUAGAUUAUAAAAUGUACUGAGUUUCUAGCGAGAUCGAUUACUUGUCUGUGCAGUAUCUGAGAUAGAAUUUUUAGGUUUUAAACGUCUCACAAUAUAUCGACGAGCUAAAACGGGAGAUUAAUGCACUUUUCAAACGCUGGACAUAAUGUUUUACACUUUAUAACAUUGAUAACUAAAUUUUAUCGUGGAUGAAAAAUAACUGUAUGCUGAUUUUGCAACACGAAGUGUCAUUUGUCACAUCACCUUUGCGUCACACCUAAGUUCUACAUUCUUCCUCUAGUUUUUCUACAUUUUUUCCGAUGAUUAUACUUUGCAUAAAAAAUAGUAUCUUUAACAAUGAUCGACAGAAAGUAAAGAAGUAGUCUUUAAUAGAUACACUUCGUGCAGCCACGCUACUUUCAUACAGACGCUUUCAAAUCUAAGAAAGAACGCAGCUUCUUUCGUACUAACGGCGACACCUCAGAGCUUUUCAUUCUAUUACGUUAAUGUGCAAAUUAAUGGAACCCGCCCUAAGUUCAGGGACAAUGCUGAACGCAACACGUGAUCGAUUCCACGCGUGUUCAGGUAGUUUGUGAAUUUUACACGCCGCAUUAUCCGUGCACCUACUGCAUAAACCUCGGCAACGUGACAGGCAUUAACGCGUAACCAUAACACUCGAGAUAUCGCGUGCCGCUAAAUUACACCGGGGAUGGCUAACCAGGAUAAACGAUCGAUAUUUGCUAAUGCUUCUCAUAGUGUAACAUUAUUCUUGACGCAAUCUGAGCUACCCUGGUGAUAGUAGAUAUCUUCGAAGAGCGUGCAAACUGCCCGAAGAUCAUGAGGAACCGUCUUAUCUAGAUGAAUAUGCAACAUCCUCGAUCUAUCACGCGCUUUCUGACUAGAACAUCGUUGAUUACUUGGCGAAAUAUAUAUAUGGCGAAGAUACGCGUGUCCGUAUGCCACUUAUCAAAGUAAGUCCAAAAUAAACACACGCGAUUUAAAUCAAUGGAUCAGAACCGGUGUACAUUCGUUAUAUACGUAUGUACAAAGCAAUCACUGUAGAUAUUUCAUGUUCUAGCACGCGAUAUUCCGUGCAGGAAUUUUAACACAAUUACAAUGAAAAUAACUGUUUAAGCUACAUUUGUCAAAAUACGCGAUUUUAGUUUUUUGCACUUUGAAGUGUUCAAUAAAUAUAUCGACUCUGGUUACUGAAAUUUUUCAGAAUUUCAAAAAGAAUAAUGACUUCU